rnacentral:rRNA from 1 species
AUUGAACGCUGGCGGCAGGCCUAACACAUGCAAGUCGCACGAGUGGCGGACGGGUGAGUAAUGUCUGGGCAACUGCCCGAUGGAGGGGGAUACCUACUGGAAACGGUAGCUAAUACCGCAUCCCAUCGGAUGUGCCCAGAUGGGAUUAGCUAGUAGGUGGGGUAAAGGCUCACCUAGGCGACGAUCCCUAGCUGGGCUGAGAGGAUGACGAGCCACACGGGAACUGAGACACGGUCCAGAAUCCUACGGGAGGCAGCAGUGGGGAAUAUUGCACAAUGGGCGCAAGCCUGAUGCAGCCAGGCCGCGUGUGUGAAGAAGGCCUUCGGGUUGUAAAGCACUUUCAGCGGGGAGGCGUUACCCGCAGAAGAAGCACCGGCUAACUCCGUGCCAGCCGCCGCGGUAAUUC